GUGUGGAGCUUCUUAUGUGAAGGUUGUACCACUGUACAUAAUAACAUGAAGCAAGUUCUUUUUCACAAUAAUAAUCUUAAUCAUGAGUCAUCACUAUGUAAAAUCUCAGAGCUGGUAAAAGAAUGAGUUCAUAGUCUAGACAUGUCAAUGGUACAUCAAGGAACCAGCUGUGACCAUACUCCACUAUGAGAAGGUCAAAAGCAUGGGAAAAAGGAAAAUAAUGACUCAAUAUCACAGCCAGUAAAUUCACUUCCCAGACAGUCAAUUCACAGCUCUGAGAUAUUGAGUAAUUAUUUGUUUUACUGGAUUUGCUUCUUCACAGCACAUGAUAUCUAAUUACAGACCCGUUCAAUGAAAAAAGAUAUCUAGUUAACUGGAUUUGUUUCCUCCCAGCUCAUGAUAUCUAAUUACAGACCCGUUCAAUGAGAAAAGAUAUCUAAUUGCCUUUUCAAUUUGUUUCCCGUGUCAAUGCAACUGAAUGUGAUAUCCACAUACUGAGGUUUUCCUUGUAAAGAAACAAACACAGUGAGUAAACGCACAGCAGAAGACGGAGCAACAAAUUAGCAUCAGCAAUCCUACAAACGAAAACAAAACAAGAAGAACAUGAAAUCAAUCCAGUGGAAGAGCACGCAAAUCCUUACCGCACGCAGAAAUCGAUCUUGACAGGAUGGAUCACAUUCCUCUGGCUCGAUCCCGUGCAGUGCCAUCGUUCUUGCGCCGCCAAUC
rnacentral:lncRNA from 1 species